rnacentral:rRNA from 1 species
UGGGGAAUAUUGCACAAUGGGCGAAAGCCUGAUGCAGCAACGCCGCGUGAGGGAAGACGGUCUUCGGAUUGUAAACCUUUGUCCUUGGUGACGAAAAGAAUGACGGUAGCCGAGGAGGAAGCCACGGCUAACUACGUGCCAGCAGCCGCGGUAAUACGUAGGUGGCAAGCGUUGUCCGGAAUUACUGGGUGUAAAGGGAGCGCAGGCGGGGGAGCAAGUCAGCUGUGAAAUAUACGGGCUUAACUCGUAGACUGCAGUUGAAACUGUUCUUCUUGAGUGAAGUAGAGGUAGGCGGAAUUCCGAGUGUAGCGGUGAAAUGCGUAGAGAUUCGGAGGAACACCAGUGGCGAAGGCGGCCUACUGGGCUUUAACUGACGCUGAGGCUCGAAAGUGUGGGGAGCAAACAGG